CUGGGCUCCUUAUAAGAAGAGGAAAUUUGGACACAGACACAUCCAAAGGGAAGAUGAUGUGAAGACACAAGGAGAAGACUGCCAUCUACGAGCCAAGGAUAGAGACCUGGAAAAGAUCCUUCUUUUGCCACCCUCAGAAGGAACCAACCUUGCCAACACCUGAUCUCAGACUUCCAGCCUCCAGAAUGCUAGCCUCAUCCUGUCUUUUAAACUCACUCAAUCGCUGAAGUUCCUGGGAUCAGAGUCAAAGCCAACAUCAUCUUCAAAGAGCGUAACCUUUCAUAAUGUUAAAGUGUGCCGUUCAGCUUCCUCCUCACCAGAUCCAGUAACUUCAGUUUCUUUAAACUUCCUCUCAAAGGAGUGAUAAAAUUCUAGACUCCCAAGGAGUAUGUAAUCUAUCUUGGAUGAAGAAGCUUGCAUACUACAAGAUUCUUCAAAUAUGAUGGAAGAGCCUUUGCAGUCCAUGCUGCAAGGAAAUCACACACAGCCUCCAUAGGCUGCUCUCAAAUGUAUUCUCUCCCCAGAUCUUGGAGGGUUGCUGCUCCUAUUUCAACAAUUCAAAAGGGAAAACAGACAUAACGUCUAUAUAGACUAAAUAAAAAACUAGCGUGACUGUUCACAAAGGAACUUAUGAAGACAAUGGGACUGGAUAUUUUAAAUCUAGACCGUAGCAAUUGAUAUGUGUUUACGUCUAUUAAUAGGCACAUAUAUUAUUCAACAAAUAACACUAAGAUUAUUACAUGUGCUGGGCACUAUGGUAAAUGUUGGGC
rnacentral:lncRNA from 1 species